GAUGAACGCUGGCGGCGUGCCUAAUACAUGCAAGUCGAGCGAACAGAUGAGGAGCUUGCUCCUCUGACGUUAGCGGCGGACGGGUGAGUAACACGUGGAUAACCUACCUAUAAGACUGGGAUAACUUCGGGAAACCGGAGCUAAUACCGGAUAAUAUAUUGAACCGCAUGGUUCAAUAGUGAAAGACGGUUUUGCUGUCACUUAUAGAUGGAUCCGCGCCGCAUUAGCUAGUUGGUAAGGUAACGGCUUACCAAGGCAACGAUGCGUAGCCGACCUGAGAGGUGGAUGGGCACCACUGGACCUAGAACCCGGCCCGAACCCCAAGGGAGGCAGGCAGAGGGAAUCCUUCCGCAAGGGGCGAAACCCUGACGAGGCACCGCCGCUGGAUUGUGAAAGUCCUCCGAACCUUAAACCUUGUUAUUAAGGAAAGAACAAUGUGUAAAUUAAUGAGGCACUUUUGAACGUUACCAAUCCGGAAGACCACGCCAAACAACUU
rnacentral:rRNA from 1 species